AUUCAAUCCCAUUCCAUUCACUACUUUCUCCGCCUCCUCCUUCCAGUUUUAGCUCCGCUGUCUCCGCCUCCUCCUUCCAGAGCUAGACUUCUCAUUUUCCAUUGCUACUGGCCUCGCCUGCUCUCUAUCUCAUCCUGUUUGUUCGAUUUGAUCGUCAACGCUUAUAGUAGCAGCAAAAGCAGAUGCAGUCCUGACCGCCUGAUGUCGGUGAUUCUUCGGCUGCAGUAGAAGAACUGAAGAAGAAGGUGAAGCCCUUAGCCCUGAAUCAAUUCCCGAACCUGACACUAAUUUUUCCUUAUUUAUUUUUUGUUCUUUUGAUUUGCCCUAUAUUCUGGUUGUUGCUUUAGUAAUUAGAUGGCAUGAUUUGUGAUUUAUAUGGCAGUAUCCUGAUUAUGUUUUUGAUGUUGCUUUAAAGUAGUAUCCUGAUUAUGGCCGACUGAUUUGCCCUAUAUUCUACGUAGGGCCAAUUUCUAGCAAACACCAAGUUCAAACCAGGCUCAGUUUCACCUAUUAAGUCGACACCACCAAGUAUUGAGACAACUCCAAACCACCAACACCUAUUUCCCACCUCCGAUUGCUAUUGGUUGGAGAAGAUGAAGAACGAUAAUAUGCCCACUUCCAAUGAACCACAAAGGUCACAGAGAAGAGAAGAGAGUCUCAAAGAGAGAGGUUGGGCAUUCUUCAUUUUGGAGGCCGAGAGGAAGACAAGAAUAUAAGCCAAGUAAAUAUCCAAACAAGGUAAGUUAGGUUAGGGUUAUUUAGUGGACCAAACAAGGCUCUACUCAAAAAUAAUGGGCUUCAAAUUAAUAACAUAGCUUUCCAAGGAAAUGGGAUGAACCGUGAGCAAUACUAUUAACAAUAGGUUGCUUCGAACGGUCCAUAGGAAUGUGGAUUGGGUUGUCUCAAUAAUUGUGUCGAUAUACUAAUCAAUCAUAUGGCCAAGGUCGAUUGAUAAUGGAACCGGGGUUACAUCAUUGCCCGGGGGGUCGUUUGACAACAAAUUGCCUAAAAAACGUCCACAUUGGUGUUAAAGGACCUGCAAAAGAAAAAAUGUCUCCCAUUAGUGAUACAUCUAAUAGAAAACCGAUAAAAUUGGAAAUCAUUUACCUGUACCAAUAUUUAGAAGUUCCUUGCAAUUUCUAAACUUUGCCAGUGGCAGUACCUUCGUCCCCAUAUCAGAGGGGUUGUAGUGGGUAUGGACCUUUUCAAGUCUUACCACCUCUUGAGAUACUAUAUCUCUAAUGAAGUCUAACAUCACUAUGUUUAGUGCAUUCAUGAAAAACGGGAUUUUUGCAUAAAUGUAUAGAUGACUGACUAUCAUAAUACACUACCACAUAAUCAUUCAAGACACAUAGUUCAUGAAGAAGGCCUCUAAGCCAUAGAUCUUUUUUAAUAGCUUCAAUGGUAGCAAUAUAUUCUGAUUCUGUAGUAAAUAGUUCAACAAUAUGUUGUAACUGUGAUUUCCAACUAACACAUGAAUUAGAUAAGGUAAACACGUAAGACAAAGUAGAUAUCCUACCAUCCCUAUCUCCCGCGUAGUCAGCAUCUACAAAACCCUUUAAUUUUAUACCUUCUUUAUUAGCACUAAACUUUAAACCUACGUCACUUGUACCCAUCAAGGACUUUAAUAGCUACUUUAGCGUUUCCUAAUGUUCAGGGCCUGAAUUAGCCAUAUAUCUACUGAGAGUACUAACAGCAAAACCUAAAUUCGGUCUAGUGCAAACCAUCAAAUACAUUAUGGAACUACUCACAUUAGAGUAAGGCACUCUACUCAUGUAUUCUACUUCACGCUUAUUGCAAGGGGAUUAUUCCUUCGAUAAAACAAAAUGAUUAGCAAGAGGCAGCGUGACAAGUUUGCAAUCACUCAUAUUAAAUUUCUUCAAUACUUUGGAUAUGUAUGGAGACUGAUGGAAAAACAAAACAGAAUUUGACCUAUCUCUUUCGAUUUCAAUACCUAAGAUUCUCUUAGCCUUACCUAGGUCUUUCAUGUCAAAUUCACCACUUAGCUUUGCUUUUAUGUUAUUUAUCCACUUAGAGGAUGAUUCAAUCAAAAGCAUGUCGUCCACAUAUAGCAACAAAAACAGAUAAUUAUCAUCAGUCUCAUUGUGUUGAGAAUAUAGGCAGUGAUCAAAUUUAUUUCUUUGGAACCCUAUAGUAAGUACAAAGGAAUCAAACCUCUUGUACCACUGUCUACGAGAUUGUUUUAACCAAUACAAGAAUCUUCUCAGAAAAUACACAUAAUCAGGUUUUAACUUAUCCUUAAAACCUUUUGGUUGAUUCAUGAAAAUUUGUUCAUCAAGCUCACCAUGUAAAAAAACAGUUUUUACGUCAAGUUGUUCAAGUUCCCAGUCAAAGUGUCCAACCAAUGCGAGCAUGACCCUAAUAGUGGUGUACUUAACAACUUGUGAGAAAUUUUCAUUAUAAUCAACACCCUCCUUCUGUGUAUAGCCUUUAGCUACUAACCUAACUUUAAACCUUAGGGGUUCCGAGCUAUUAGUACCUUCCUUAACCUUAAAGACCCAUUUGCAAUCAACAAUUGAUUUGUUCUUAGGCCUAGGUAAUAGCUCCCAAGUAUGAUUCUUUUCUAAAGAACUCAUCUCUUCUUUCAUUGCCUUAAGCUGUUCAUUAGAUUGAUCACUGCCUAUUGCCUCUUCCAAGGUCUUUGGCUCUUUAUCAGCUAGUUAUUCAUAACUAGCCUGGGUGAAAGCUAAUUCAAAUUCAAAACCUAACCUUCUAGGUUCUCUCGUUUGUCUCCUCUCUCUAUCCCUCACUAAGUUAUAGUUAACUAAAGGAUUUUCUUCCUCAUAGUGCUCUUUUGUCAUUAUUUCAUUACUAUUCUCCACCUUGGGUUCCUGAGCUUAAGUCUCCACCUCACUUGAAGCAGUAGGGGUAGGUGGACUGAGAUUUCCUAACUCCACCUUAAAUUGGUCUCUCUCUUCACCUGGUUCAGCUUCACUCUCAGGUUCAGUUUCCCCUUUAAUACACGGCAUCUCAUUUUCGUUAAACGUGACAUCUCUACUUAUGAUGAUCUUCACCCCUUUUUGGCUUCUAUCCCAUAACCUAUAACCCUUAACACCCUCGGGAUAUCCUAGAAAGACACACUUCCUAGCUCUAGGUUCCACCUUAUCCUCGCUUUGAUGAGAAAAAGCUGUGCAGCCGAAAGUUCUAAGCAUCGAGUAAUCACUCAAUUUACCUGACCAUCUCUCAUGCGGAGUGUCACCAUUCAAUGUAGCAGAAGGAGUCAAAUUAAUCAAAUAACAAGCGGUCAUAACAGCCUCACCCCAAAAUGACUUAGGAACACCAAAACUACUUAUCAUGCAACGUACUUUAUCAAGUAUGGUCCUAUUCAUCCUUUCUGCUACCCCAUUUUGCUAAGGAGUGUAAAGAACGGUCUUAUUUCUAGUUAUGCCGCUUUCUUUACACAUACUAUCAAAUUCUUUAUUGCAGAACUCUAGGCCGUUAUCUAUCCUUAAAAACUGAUUUUCUUGCCAGUUUUGUUUUCUACUUGUCUCUUCCAAUUGUUAAAACUAUUAAAGGUCUCAGAUUUAUCCUUCAAAAGAUAGACCCAUACUUUUCUAGUGUAGUCAUCGAUAAUAGAUAGGAAAUACCUAUUCCCUCCCGAUGUAGGAUUACUAGCAGAACCCCAUAGAUCAAAGUGCACAUAUUCGAGUACGCCUUUAGCUCUAUUAACACUCGUGGAGAAAGAAGUUUUAUGGUGCUUACCAAGCACACCAUGAUCACAAAAUGGCAAAUCUGACACACAAUCAUUAUCAAAAGUACCUUUUUCGUUAAGUAGCUUAAGUCCCUUGACCCCUACGUGAGCAAGUCUAUUAUGCCAUGUGUGUGUGUGAUCAAUCUUGGCAGAGGAGAUAGAGGGGUUCACACCUCUAAUCACUUCCCCAGUAGUAAUAUAUAUAUCAUUUUUCUUAAUUCCCUUAAUGGAAACUAAAGCACACUUGAUCAUUUUUAGCAUACCAUUUCCAAUUUUACCAGUAAAGUCAUCCUUCUCAAGUCUCCCUACUGAAAUCAGAUUCCUAGACAACUCAGGAAUAUAUCUAAUGUCCUUUAACGUAUACACAAAACCUGUGUCAAAUUUUACGUUUAUUUCACCAAUUCCAGCAAUAGUAUAGGCAAAGUUAUCACACAGCAUAACAUACCCAACAUUAGAUUCAUGCAGCUUAUAAAACUAAUUCUUUUCAGACGUCACAUGAAAAGAUGCACUAGAGUCAAAUAUCCACUCAUGCAUGUGGGAAUUAGCAGUUAGAUUUAAUUCAGCAGUGUAUGCAACUGGACUUGUAAUCAUAAAGACCUCACCACCAUUUAUAUCGAAAGUAGAUGCUAACACAUUGACCUCAUCUCUCUCCUUAAUCUUUAACUUACCAUUCUCCUUAUGACAAUCUUUUAUAAAAUGCCCUGUAUUUCCACAACCAUAGCAUUUUCUCACCUUAAUCCUAGAUUUUGAUCUAGACCUACCUUUGCUCUUCUUUUUCCAUCCAUUACCACUUGACACGCCACUAGUUUGAUAUUCAUCAUGACUAUUUGCCUAAAUUGAGUUCUACCCCGCAUCAUAUGUACCUCACCAUUCCUCUUAUCAUGUUUUUCAGCCCUAAUUUCCAUUUCUUUACUUCUAAGGGAAUCUAUGACAAUUUCACGUGUGUUCUUAACUUCCUUAUAGGAAUCAGGAAUUGCACUGAGAAAAAUUAUAGCCUUAUAAGUUUCGAACACAAUCUCAUCACAAUUAACUAUAUCUUGCACCAAUUUGUUAAACACGUCCAAAUUGUCAUCAAGAUCCUUUAAAGGAUCCAUUUUGAAACUGAAAAAACGUUCAAGCAGGUAAAGUUUAUUCGGUGUAGACUUAAGCAAAUACAAGUCUUCUAAUUUUUUCAAAAGUUCUUUAGUGGUUUUCAGUUUACCCACCUUUCUUAGAAUGGCGUCAGACAAGUGUAAAAUAAUUGAGUUAUAAGCAAGCUCAUCGGCUUCUUCUCUUUGUUCUUGUGAAAAAUUAGUUGAAAAUUUGCCUUCAAUGGCCUUUGAAACCUUUUGUUGGACUAGAAUGCUCUUCAUUUUUUGUUGCCAAAUAGCAAAGUCACCCUUUCCAUUAAAAAUUCCCAAAUUAAAGUUGUGAGUUGUCAUCUUUACACAACAGUCAAAAAUGCACAAACCACACACAGUAGUCCUAGGGUCAUGACAGUAUACACCGUUCUAGAUUCUCAGGGUUUCGUAAGACUCGCGGUCUUAGAUCAAGGGAAUGUUCGAACAGGUAAGGCCAUGGUAUUUCUAACAGAAUAAGUAAACAAUGAAAAUAACAAUACAGCAAAAAAUACGUCUAGCAGAUAACUAGUCUCAUAGCAAUUAGGUCACUAAGAAUUACAAAACUAAUUUUAACCCAAAACAAAUACUCAAUCAAAAACAAUCAAGAGCACGUAACCCUAAUUCUAGCUAAAGAAAUGGUUGUCAAGCAAUGACAAUCCCCAACCUAUUGUCAUCCCACACAGUGAUGCGCUAAUACUGAAAAUUAACGGGUUAAGCCAAUUUACCAGAGUGGACGUGUCUGAGUCCGUAUAAUUGAGAGAUAUGCGAAUCUACUCCUUUAGGGUCGCAAUCUUGACCUAAAGUAAUUCAGUAGAUAUAUGCAGUUUCAACCGUCGAUCCACCAGGGGCAAAAUUGUUCAACUUUUUUUGUGUAACCUAAAACAGAAAAUAAACAGUGUCAAUGCAUUCAAGGGAUUGAAAUGAGCAAACUGCCCGAAGGAAGUUCGCUCGAAAUCACCGCCACGCGCCGCCGCAGGAGUUCGCCGUCGCCACCAUGCGCCGCACUAGAAGGGGCGCCUCAGCCUGCUGGUUUGGGGUAUGGGGUCUAUUUCGCCAAAAAGUUUCUGGUUUGGCCGGAAAUCGCGAUUGCAGGUUCGAUCCUCUAUGAAAAUCAUGCACACCGCCUACAUUUUUAGUGGUUUUCUGGUUGGAGAAGGUGACUCUGGCUUUGAUACCAGUUGUAGGGCCAAUUUCUAGCAAACACCAAGUUUAAAUCGGGCUCAGUUUCACCUAUUAAGUCGACACCACCAAGUAUUGAGACAACUCCAAACCACCACCACCUAUUUCCCAUCUCCGGUUGCUAUCUAUUGGGGAAGAUGGAGAACAAUAAUAUGCCCACUUCCAAUGAACCACAAAGCUCACAAAGAAGAGAAGAAAUCGAGAGGAGAGUCUCACAGAGAGAGGUUGGGCAUUCAUCAUUUUGGAGGCCGAUAGGAAGACAAGAAUAUAAGCCAAGUAAAUAUCCAAACAAUGUAAGUUAGGUUAGGGUUAUUUAGUGGACCAAACAAGGCUCGACUCAAAAAUAAUGGGCUUCAAAUUAAUAACAUAGCUUUCCAAGGAAAUAGGACGAACCGUGAGCAACACUAUUAACAAUAGGUUGCUUCGAACGGUCCAUAGGAAUGUGGAUUGGGUUAUCUCAAUAAUUUUGUCGAUAUACUAAUCAAUCAUAUGGCCAAGGCCGAUUGAUAAUGGAACUGGGGUUACAUCAUAGCCCGGGGGGUUCGUUUGAUAGCAAAUUGCCUAACAUUCUAGUUGUUGCUUUGAUGUUGUUCAAUUUUCUAGUUUAUCUUGUCAUUUCCAAUUUUUCAAGGCUUUGUGAGAUCCUUAUUAGCCAUUGGUAGAGCUUGGAUAUGCUGAAGCUAGUCCGUGUUGCCUUGGCGUAACAAUUUUUUUUGACUUUCUGAGAUAUAUUUUGUUUUAUAAAAUUGGUUGAUGUCGUGUCUGAAUUUUGAGGGGGUGAUGCUAAAAUAAGAAUUAAGCUUCUUUAAAUAGCUUACCUUGCUGAUGCAAUUACAGAUUUUCCAAGAAUUGUUAAAUAAAAUUUGGUUACCCUUAAGUUGUUGGAUUAUGUAUUUUCACUAAGUUAUCGUCUUGCUGAUUUCCACGGUUCCUUAGUGUUUUCUUUUUCAUUUUGUGUAUUUGAUGGAUGGAGAGAACAUGUUUGGUUCAGCAAGUGUAUUAGUUUGAGUUGUUAUUCCUAUUAGGGUUCUCACAUAAAAAAGAAAGGAAUAAUUGGCAUCAAAUGAAUAGUAACUACUGCAGAGAAAGCUUACCAAGAAAAAGCACUAGUAGGUGGAAUCAGAACUCAUGCGUUCUCGAAAUCAAAAGGAGAUGCUUAAGCUGUUAGUUACUGAUAUGAAGCCACUUUCUGUUUGGGACAUUGUCCACAGUGGAGCCACUUUCCAGGUAAUGUAGUCUUAGUUUGCUCUAUAUGAUUUUAAUGUAUCCAUGAUAUCUUACUAAUACCUUUUGUAACUCAUAGAUGUGGUUUAGGAUCAGAAAAUUGAUGUAGUGAGUUGACACAUCCCGCCCCGUGUAACACCACUAAAUUUGGACGAGGCAUGCGUCGAUGAUAAAUACCAACUAAAAGUCGGACCCACCAUCAAGGCUACUACAAAUACAAUAUAUCACUUUUUAUACAUCAUUUUUCUAAUAAAAUCUUGGCAUUAUCUCCCUUGUAAACAGGGCUAACCAACCUAUAAUUAAUUUCACACAAAUCCCAAACCAUAGUACAGCACAAUAAUGAUAAGCCAAAUUCUCCACUUUUACCAAGAAAUACAAUAAAAUAUACAUAUGUAUGCAUAAUACAUAGUGAGCCCCAUAACUGUCUAUAAGAUGAUGCAAAAUUAUAUCUAGACAUGAACAUGCGUCCCAAAAACACUGACUACAUGUUCUAUGAAGUGAGUCAUAUUGACAAACUCUGUCGUGUGGCUCUGACUCCAAAAUCAAGGCUCAACUCCAAAAGAUGCCCAGAUUCUCAAUUGCUGCCUGAUAAGAAAAAACGUGGAAAAAUAUAUGAGUUGAUAGUUCAGUGAGUGGAGAAGUUCAAAAUAAAUAUAUUUUUUCAUUUAUAUAUUUUUAUUGAAAAUCAAAUUCAUAUCAUUUGAUAAUUCACAAGCUACCAUCAUGUAAUUAUAGCCAAAAAGUGAAAUAUUUACGUAAGGUCAUAAAAAUAUCAUCUUGAAAUCAUGAUAUAACAUCAGCUGAUAACCAUGCUAUAAUCUCAUAACAUCAAACGUACUGAAAAAUCCACCAAAACUGUAAUCCCUGACUGAAAUAUGUAAUCCUCCUCUCGGGUUAAGAACUUUCGUCAUGGGCCUUUGGCCCCCUUCGUGAACUUAAGCCGGUUUUAAAGACCUCUCAUAAUCAAUUCUAGAACGUGGCCAAGGCCUCUCUGUAAACUAUAUGUACACAAUCAAGACCAAUGUCAAGUCAAGACCCUCCGUGUAUGAUAGAACACGGUCAAGGCCCCUCUGUGAACUAGAAGAAGUAUAUAAUCAUAGGUAUUUUUCUGGCCGAUCUCAAUAUUGCAUAUCUCACAUGCCAAACAAAUCUCAAUAUCACAUGUCUUACGUACCAAGUCACAAAUAUGCCAUAAAUAAUUUUUGAUAUUUCACAUAUAUCAUAAUAAAAAAGAUUUCCAUAAUAACCAUAUAAUUCGAACACAUACUUUGACAAUAUACUUAAUUUAUAAAUAUUUUAAAAAUAUUUAUAUUUUUCCACUCACAGAACUAUGUACGCUAAAAUCAAUUCGAUUGGUACGCUGUCCCAAUAUUCAUAUCGCCACCUGAAAUAUAAUAUAAUUUUUAAAUCAACAAUUAACUAAUUUAAGUAAUUUCAAUAAUUAAAUAGGCGAUACCCAAACAUAAUUAUUUCACAUUUAGGCGAUUUCUAAAGUCUCUUUAAUUACUAAAAUUAAUUUUUCUUUCAUUUUACUCAAUUGCAUAAUUUAUUACACUUAACCCCUUCAAUAAAAUUAAAUUUAACCUAACAAUCUAACAACUAUAAAAUCAAACAUAACUUAACAAUAAGUAACUUUUUACUUACCUUUCAAAAUUGAGAAAUUCAAGUCUAAUAGGAUAGAGCACUUAAUUCCUAACAUGUUGGCAAAUUUUCCCUUCUUUUUCUUCCUCUUUUCCCUUUUUUCUCCUCUUUUUCCUUUCUCUUUUUCUCUCUUUUCCUUCUCUGUACCGUUUUUGUUUUUGGAUGUAAUGUGUAUGUUUUCUUUUAAUUUGGCUUUGGUUGUGUUUAUAUAUAUAUUAAAUUGGAGUGAUUUGUUUUGACAUCCACCGCCUGCCGUUUUUGUUUUUAUCUUUUGAUCUUUUUUUUUUUUUUUGUUUAAUGUAUUACAUGAGCUCUUAACGAUGUUGUAAAUCACCGACUCAGUGGUUCUAUGCCAACCUUGCUUUACAUGUCUGCUAAUGUAAAUUGAACACUCUCUUACAUCUCACCAAUAAAUAUGAAAAGAGAUUAGAUCUGACAUCUGACCAUAAAAUUGCAGUAAACGUAAAUAAUAUAUGAUUUGAUUGAAAUUCAAACACACGGACUUUUUUUUUAUUGAUUCAAUGCUUCUCUUGCAGCUUUGUUGGCCGUCGUGAAUUGUGUGGUGAGCAAAUCGAAGAGUGCACGAAGGACAAUAUGAUCGAGUUUGCCGUUAGAGUAUUAUCCGGAAGCUUGGUAUUGCAAGUGUGGCAACAAGCUCUUCAUGCCUAAGCUGUAUCAAAAUUUUAUUCCUAGUUUUGUUUCACUUUGAAGCUCCUUUGUAUUUAGGUGAUGUUGUAUCACAUUCUAAUGUUCAAGUGUAUGCAAUUCCAAAAUUUGUUCAGGAGAUGUCAUUUUCAAUUUUGAUAGUCAAUUUACAAUUUACAUAAAUUGCUGUAAAAAAAUAA
rnacentral:lncRNA from 1 species